UACAGAGGGUGCGAGCGUUAAUCGGAAUUACUGGGCGUAAAGCGCGCGUAGGCGGCUUUGCAAGUCGGGGUGUGAAAUCCCCAAGCUUAACUUGGGAACUGCAUUCGAGACUGCAUUGCUAGAGUAUGGGAGAGGGAAGUGGAAUUUCCGGUGUAGCGGUGAAAUUCGUAGAUAUCGGGAGGAACACCGGUGGCGAAGGCGGCGACUGG
rnacentral:rRNA from 1 species